rnacentral:rRNA from 1 species
GAUGAACGCUGGCGGCGUGCCUAAUACAUACAAGUCGAGCGAACGGACGAGAAGCUUGCUUCUCUGAUGUUAGCGGCGGACGGGUGAGUAACACGUGGAUAACCUACCUAUAAGACUGGGAUAACUUCGGGAAACCGGAGCUAAUACCGGAUAAUAUUUUGAACCGCAUGGUUCAAAAGUGAAAGACGGUCUUGCUGUCACUUAUAGAUGGAUCCGCGCUGCAUUAGCUAGUUGGUAAGGUAACGGCUUACCAAGGCAACGAUGCAUAGCCGACCUGAGAGGGUGAUCGGCCACACUGGAACUGAGACACGGUCCAGACUCCUACGGGAGGCAGCAGUAGGGAAUCUUCCGCAAUGGGCGAAAGCCUGACGGAGCAACGCCGCGUGAGUGAUGAAGGUCUUCGGAUCGUAAAACUCUGUUAUUAGGGAAGAACAUAUGUGUAAGUAACUGUGCACAUCUUGACGGUACCUAAUCAGAAAGCCACGGCUAACUACGUGCCAGCAGCCGCGGUAAUACGUAGGUGGCAAGCGUUAUCCGGAAUUAUUGGGCGUAAAGCGCGCGUAGGCGGUUUUUUAAGUCUGAUGUGAAAGCCCACGGCUCAACCGUGGAGGGUCAUUGGAAACUGGAAAACUUGAGUGCAGAAGAGGAAAGUGGAAUUCCAUGUGUAGCGGUGAAAUGCGCAGAGAUAUGGAGGAACACCAGUGGCGAAGGCGACUUUCUGGUCUGUAACUGACGCUGAUGUGCGAAAGCGUGGGGAUCAAACAGGAUUAGAUACCCUGGUAGUCCACGCCGUAAACGAUGAGUGCUAAGUGUUAGGGGGUUUCCGCCCCUUAGUGCUGCAGCUAACGCAUUAAGCACUCCGCCUGGGGAGUACGACCGCAAGGUUGAAACUCAAAGGAAUUGACGGGGACCCGCACAAGCGGUGGAGCAUGUGGUUUAAUUCGAAGCAACGCGAAGAACCUUACCAAAUCUUGACAUCCUUUGACAACUCUAGAGAUAGAGCUUUCCCCUUCGGGGGACAAAGUGACAGGUGGUGCAUGGUUGUCGUCAGCUCGUGUCGUGAGAUGUUGGGUUAAGUCCCGCAACGAGCGCAACCCUUAAGCUUAGUUGCCAUCAUUAAGUUGGGCACUCUAAGUUGACUGCCGGUGACAAACCGGAGGAAGGUGGGGAUGACGUCAAAUCAUCAUGCCCCUUAUGAUUUGGGCUACACACGUGCUACAAUGGACAAUACAAAGGGCAGCGAAACCGCGAGGUCAAGCAAAUCCCAUAAAGUUGUUCUCAGUUCGGAUUGUAGUCUGCAACUCGACUACAUGAAGCUGGAAUCGCUAGUAAUCGUAGAUCAGCAUGCUACGGUGAAUACGUUCCCGGGUCU